GCACAAUAGCCUGAGAGAUCAGACGUGGGAGAUUAGAUUGCUCGGCGUCAGACCUACUUCUAGGCAACCCCCCCUAGACUGGAGCUGCUCGUCGUGGACAUUAGGAUCUAGUUGGGCAUGAGCCCUUAACUUAAGGGUCGGGGGGGAAGUGGCGGGUGCGGAGAGGAGGCGUGGAGAGUGUGAGGAAGAAGAGAGGCACUCUGAGAAGAAGUCGAACAACUAACCCCUCAUUUGGCCUGGUUUGGGUGAGAAGAUUGAGUCACUUGGGGAAAAAAAUAUUGGAGAAGUCAGAGAAGGUGUAAAUCAGUGGUGCCACAAACACCAGUUUACUUCCACUUUUCACCCCCCGGGUCUGUUUUGUCUGCGUGCAGCUCUCCUCGUGUCGGAGACGCUGAGUCAGUUCUCUACUGGUCUUGCCCUCUUCCGGAAAAAGAAAACACACCUGAGAAGUGGUAGUUCCUAUCCUAACCUACUGGGGCCCUUUAUACCAGGUGCCAAACUUCAUUAUCCACCCCACCACCUUGCCCGGGAGGGAGAUCUGUGAAAGCGAAACGUGAUUUAAGCUGGGAUCUGGCAGCAACUUCGUGGACUCUGAAGGGCACGUGGGAAAGGAGUUUUGAUUGAAGAGAGACAAGACCAUCAAGUAGACCAGCACACUCCAAACAGAUCUUUGGAAAGAAGGCAUUGAGAGUGGACAGAGGGAGGAUGCAGACCCUGGGGCUGAAAGGAGAGAAAGUUGGAAAUCCUGCACAGGGUUGCCAAGCACUGGAACUCAAUCCUGACCACAAGUGGCUCUUAGGGAAGCAGUAAGUUGAAUAGGCAUGGAGCAGCCCACUCUCACCAUGGACCUCCAGGAUCCUAGCUGUGGGAG
rnacentral:lncRNA from 1 species